AACCAGCACUCUGUGGCAGAUGAUCAAAACUGACACAAUUUGCACUUGCUAUAGCAAGAAGGUUUAACCUAUGCUGGUAUUCUUUUCUCCUUGAGACAAGCCUUUCUACUGAUUUAACAGC